AUUAAUGGGAUCCGAUAACCUACUUUUACCUUUUAUGCAAAAUACAACUUCAGAAGGUUGCAUAUAAUAUACCUCGUAUGUCAAGACCUAUCUUUAUUCAUAAUGUUGUUACCCAGCAACUGUUGUUUACUGUCCAAAAAAAAAAAGCUACUUGGCCGUGUGCAAACUAUGCAAACACCAUACGACGUGCGACUGUAAUGAUGGAAAUAAAUGUCAGUUAUCAACUGUCAAAAUGUUUCAUGAAAAGCGUAAUAAUUUAGUCGGUGCAAGUGCGUCCUUCAAGCUGCAGAAGCUUCGUUUUUCGCGGAAGUACGUGUCUUAACCCGGAACUGGACCUGCUGGAUAAAUCCUGCAUCGGGCCCUAACCAUCGCUGUGACCUGAACUUGGAACUUUAGAACUGUAUUGGGGACUUCGUUCAUGUUUUCACUGUUGAGGUGAGGCGAAAAGUUGUAUGUGCCACACGAUCCGAGACCAAAGUUUCUUGCAUCUCGCACCUCGAGUCUUUCGCUUCACUACAAGUAAGACAAAAGGGAUAUUCUUACAUUCAUUGUUGAACCACAAGCAACUAAAUUCCAAACCCCAUUUAUAUUGAUGCCUUGUGUCGGAUUUAGAACACAGCGUUAGAGCGAAGAAAAUCACUAAAGACCACAUCAGCAUCUUGUUCAGACUAAAGUUUAUUAUACAAGAAAGUCGGCUUUUAUAUCUGCAAACUAUAAUAUUAUGGUAAUUGUCUUAUACGAUGUUUAAGAGUUAUGGUUAUAACAAUAGAGCAGUGUGCCUAAGGUAUUGUUUUUAUUAAAGAACAAUGCAAAUAAGUCAGACAAUCGAAGCAGUCAAUCACCUGGAAUGGUAAUUAUUGAAAGCAAAGUGAAUACCAACCGAUUGCUUUACUUUUGCUUUAUUGAAUGCUUCUGCAUAUUCAAUGAACGUAGGUAUAUUUCAAUUCCGUUCGUCAUCAGCAGGUCGAUCAGUUAACCACUACAUAAUGAAUAAUUUUACAUGAAGGAACUAAUGAAUUUCGAGGCGCUCGGGGCUAAGAUAUAACAAACAUAUUCCAAUGAACAAAUACCAAAUAAGUAUAUAGCUUUAGAAGCAAUUCAUAAAGUUCCUCGAAAAGUAAAAUUGGGAAGCAGGAAGCAUGUUUUCUCAUCUAAGGCCACAAUUAGCUGAUGAAUACUAAUUCUGUGUUAGUUCGAAUACCUCUGAUCAUGACUAGUUAGUCCAUCCAAGCCCCAGUUAUUUGAUCCUUAUUUGAGAAAAGAUAAAGAGGCGAAUCAUAGGCCUAAACAAGCACGAGACAAGCGCUUACGACAAAGCUAUCGAGCCCAAACACACUAUUGACUCAGUUUAUCUUUGUGCAAACAUCGUCAACGGCCAAGCAUGUGACAACACAAUACGAGUAAGAGCAAGAGCACAUAUCGUGAAUAUUAAAUGGCAUUCAAUAGCUUUUGACUAUGACGUGGACUUUUAUUACAGGGUGUAACCGCAUCCCUCUGGAAGUAAGGCCCAGCAGCAUCAUGACCCGUAAUGGAAUUCACCUUAUUCUAAUUUACUGUUGUGGGAUCAAAGACUUGUACACCGGGAGUUUUUUAAUCGGGGUGCAUUUUUAUAACUAUUACUUUUUUUUGCACGUUCUUCUGGCUUGAUCCAAACCCAAAAGCAGUAAUCUGCUUAUGGCAAUUAUUAUUCUAUAAUUUAUGCAUAAGUAUUUUUUUACAUUUCUUUUAUUUGUAGGAUCACUUGAGUUUGAGUCUCAAUGAAUUAAUUAUGUUACGGACCACUUGCGCUGCUCGCCUUUGCUACUUGCGCUCGCUCUUGUGCACAUUAGAAAUGCGUUAGGCCCAUUACCAGUAAAGACUUAGUUUAGUGAAUGUCAUCUAAUUUUUUGACGAUGCAAUGUGGCGACAAAAUGUAAAUAAUUAGUUAAUGUAGUCUAUGUUUAGUUUAUAAGUAGUUUUAAGAAUUAUAUUGUAUGUUCGCAAAGGGCAGCUGUUGUUACCAUUAUUUGUACAGAUCAUCUAUAUGUAUAGGUACCUACACAGUGGACAAUAAAAACUUUCUAUUCUA